rnacentral:misc_RNA from 1 species
CACGCCUUUUCGCGGGCUGCUCUUGCGCUGACUUCCUACGGCUGCCCGACACUGUGAAGGUUCGGAGUUGGCCGGCGACGAGGGGCGUGCACCGUCUCUACCCUUUCUGUGAGUGUGUGUGGUAUUGCAGACGCUAUUCGACCGCCACCCGCCACACCGGCGUGCAACGGCACUCACACAGGCAGGCGCACUGCCCAGAGGCGCGCAACAGCAGCAACGGGCUACAAUCACCCUUGCACCAAGUAGAUAGACACUUCGAUAGAUUUGGUCGACGCGCUGCCGCCAACGACGACGUCACACGCACACCCGAAAACAGCUGCGCGCGCAGUGGCACCGGCGGUCGCUGGGAUCCUUCUCUGUUUUUCCAAGAGGGUCGACUUCCUUAUCGUGGCCACCACGCGAACUUGACGCAUGUUGAGUCCUUGCGCCUAUCGGGCUGCCCUGCUCGACUUGCUCACGUCCUCGGCAGCCGAAUCACAGGAGAUGGAGAAUGAGAAGGCUGGGCUGCAGGCGAAUCACAUGCAUGUCGACCCCGCACAGGCGCGGCAUCCGUAUGUCCCCUCACUGCGACUGGCUCGCAGACCUUCGUCAUCGUUCGCGGAGGAGGAAGAGCAAGCAGUUGACAACACGACGCCGGAAACCUUUGCGGCGGCCACAGCAGCAGCGGCGCCAUCAGUCUACUCGUACCCUCCUGUGGCCCUGGUGAAGGGGUCCCCUUCCAUAUCAGCAAGCAACUGUGUGAUCGAAGACAGCGUGCUUCGCCUGGGGAACGCACAGGCGCGAUCGGGCGCCGCCUCGAGUCAUGGACCUUCUGCGGCGCACGAAGGUGUGGCCCAUCAGUCGACCUCUGGGGUGGCAGUCGUGGAGGAAGGGACAGGCCGGUCUCUUAUCCUGAGCUUCAUCGACAACUGCAUCUGCGCCGGCGUGCCAGAGGCCGUGAUCGCGGAGCAAGUGCAGUUCAUGGUGUCCUCCAUGAAGGAGUCCCUCGCCCUCCACGCCGCUCUGCAUGCGCGACAGCACAAGGAUCGCAUUCGCGAGUAUGAGGUGAGUGAGCUGACGGCAAUGCUGGAGCGACAGCAACUGCAGUUUGCGCAGCAGCACCCACAGAUGGCACCACCUGGGCUAGACGCUGCCCCCUCCCUCUCCGCUUCCUCCCCAAUCCUUGCAGCUCCCCCACCGAUGAGCUACGCGCCCCCGCAGCAGCAGCAUGUGCCGGCGGUGCGCUCGACAGCGGAGGGGACAAUCGGCGCAAAGCCGCUCCACUACAUGUCCAUCUCUCAACGGCUUUCAGACAGCCUAUGGACGGCUUCCACUACCACAGACAAACCCCCGCAACACUUCGCCGACAACGGGCGGCCCUCGCCGUUGUCUCGACACGCGAGGAGCCAGGCGGCGCACAUGGUGAAUGAUAGAGCUGGAAGCUCGUCGGCAGUGCCCGUCUCCUUUUGGCGUCCGCGCACGCCGGCGCACGCUUCAACCACAGAGACGCCGACGGCCCCCGUUGCGCGGUCUAAGAAUAACGCCGGCGGUGACGCAGCCGCAGUGAGUAGCAGCACUGGCCACGCUUGUGCGCAGCCCCACACCCGGUCGCCGCCUUCGCGCGCGACUUCCGUGUCGCGCCGAUCGUCUCGGGCACGCAACUCUUCGUGCCAUCACCACCCCCGUCACAGCCGCUAUCACAAACUGUGCAGUGUCUGCUAUCCAAGCUCGUCAUCAUCGCAGCCUCCCUCUACCUCUACGGCACAAGCGGCGGAGGUGGCCGCCUCCCCCGUCGAUGAUAGGCCCGCUUCCCUGCGGCGCAGCCCAAUGGCAAAGUGGCGGCAGUGGUACGCCCCCUCGCAGCGCUACAUGAGGCCGACGCACACCAGCCGGGCACGGCAGGAGUCAAAGUCGCCAUCGUUGUCGCCCCUCCGCAUCAAUCCGCCAGCGGUGGCCCGCGGUCUUCGCGACGAGGGGCGUGUGAAGCGUUCAUCGUCGCGGUGGGGCAGCAGUGGCAGCGCCCCGCUCUUUACGCAGGGAGCCGCGUCUGCAGUCACAGGACACCGCUCAGCUGUGCAGAAAUUGCUUGUCCGAUCCACUCACAGCAGCCGCCUUCGCGCGGCGGCAACUUCGCGGCGGCAAACUGCGUCCUCGGUGUCGGCAUCAAGAGCAUCGUGCGAGGGUGAGGAUGAGCUGAACGAGUUCGGCAGCGCAGACACACCUCACGCUCAGGAAUCAGUCGCACGGUGCACAGCCGCAGUCGCGGAUGACUCCCUCCGCGCGACUCCGGCGCAGAUGCCGACUUCGGUGAUGCGUGUCGAUCCGUCGUCGGAGGCACCGCCGCCGUCCCCCUCUCCUGGUACGUCGAACCCAAACGCGCCCCGAAGAUGCGCUCGUCUCUCCAUCCACCCCAAGCCCGCCCUCGACACCACCGGCAACACCCGCGGCGGUGGACACGGAAAGGUCGGAACGUCGCCGAAUGCCGCUGCGGUGACGAAUGCUGCGCCAAUUCGAGGCGGCAGCGAGACGCCCCCAGCUUGUUCAACGGCGACAUCGCCUGCAUCAUCGUCAACUCCGGCAGCCACCGUCUCAGCCUCCACGGCGCAGAGGUCGGCACCCUCACAAACCACGCGCGAAGCAGCGCAAGAGGGACAGCCGGAACACCAACACUAUCAGCAGGGUCAAAAGCAUCGACCUCAUCGGCCGCCGCCUCCACCUCAGCCGCGGCCGAGCUCCAGAGAUAUCGGCACUGUACUAAACCUUCCUGCGUCUGCGGCGGCUUUUGUGGACGACGACUGCAGUGAUGCCAACGUGUACGUCACCAGCCCUGAGCUGCAGCUCUUUAUGGAGCUCAGCCAGCGCAAGCUUCGGGAGACGGAGCGGGUGCUGGCGCAGGCGCCCACGCCGUCACGCACUGCCUGCGUUCCGCGCCCCUGCCAAAGUCCCUCGCCGAUGUCCAUCGUCAACGCGUCGCACUCGUGCGCACUGCGGGACAAUAUCGGCGUCUCUUCCUGUGCGCCUUCCUCCGUUGACGCACGACAGACCCCACUGCUCGCCAAAAGCUGGUCCGACCGGUCGCUGGACGCCGUGCGGGCGCGACAGCAGCAGCGGCUCGCUGACCUUCGCCGACGCUUCAGCAGCUACGACACAGCCUCGAGCAACACCAGCCCGAAGAGCCCUCACGCUCUGCCUGGAAAGGUCACUCGCGCGUCUUUGUCUGCGUCUGUGGUGGCUGAGGCGCCGCAUGAACUCCAGCAGUCCAGCUCCGUCAUCUUCCAGCCUCACUAUGUGCACUCCGCCUCGGUUGAGAACUCACCGCUGGUUCAGAUUUCUCCGACCUCGUCGGACGAGAAGGACACGCACGACGGAUGCGUGUAAGGGGGCGGCGGAGGGGAGGGACAAUGCGGAGGCGCACUGCACAGAGGACGGUCAACACCCAGACGCAGAUGCACGCGUCUUGCUUUCCUCUCUGUCGUUUGUUCUUGUUGCCUCCCCACCCCCUCCGCCGCCGCGGUCGUGUCGCUGUGAGAGACCGAGCGUGGGAGGGAGGGAGGAAGGCGGUUGUGGGUGAGGGCUCUCUCGCUGGCCCUCCCCUCCCUACGCGCACGCACGCACACGCACACACACACACACACACGUCACCCCGCUUCGAGCGAACGCCAUGCGGUCAUGCACCGAGGAAAAG